AGAAGCAGUAUUACCACCUCUGAAGUUCUUAUCUCAUCAGAUCUCAGAAGCUCAGAAAGGCAGGUUCUGGUCAGAACUGGGAUGGGAGACCACCAAGAAAAGAUAGGUUGAUACUACUGUAU
rnacentral:rRNA from 1 species